rnacentral:rRNA from 1 species
UUGAAGAGUUUGAUCAUGGCUCAGAUUGAACGCUGGCGGCAGGCCUAACACAUGCAAGUCGAGCGGUAGCACAGAGAGCUUGCUCUCGGGUGACGAGCGGCGGACGGGUGAGUAAUGUCUGGGAAACUGCCUGAUGGAGGGGGAUAACUACUGGAAACGGUAGCUAAUACCGCAUAACGUCGCAAGACCAAAGUGGGGGACCUUCGGGCCUCAUGCCAUCAGAUGUGCCCAGAUGGGAUUAGCUAGUAGGUGGGGUAACGGCUCACCUAGGCGACGAUCCCUAGCUGGUCUGAGAGGAUGACCAGCCACACUGGAACUGAGACACGGUCCAGACUCCUACGGGAGGCAGCAGUGGGGAAUAUUGCACAAUGGGCGCAAGCCUGAUGCAGCCAUGCCGCGUGUGUGAAGAAGGCCUUCGGGUUGUAAAGCACUUUCAGCGGGGAGGAAGGCGAUAAGGUUAAUAACCUUGUCGAUUGACGUUACCCGCAGAAGAAGCACCGGCUAACUCCGUGCCAGCAGCCGCGGUAAUACGGAGGGUGCAAGCGUUAAUCGGAAUUACUGGGCGUAAAGCGCACGCAGGCGGUCUGUCAAGUCGGAUGUGAAAUCCCCGGGCUCAACCUGGGAACUGCAUUCGAAACUGGCAGGCUAGAGUCUUGUAGAGGGGGGUAGAAUUCCAGGUGUAGCGGUGAAAUGCGUAGAGAUCUGGAGGAAUACCGGUGGCGAAGGCGGCUCCCUGGACAAAGACUGACGCUCAGGUGCGAAAGCGUGGGGAGCAAACAGGAUUAGAUACCCUGGUAGUCCACGCCGUAAACGAUGUCGAUUUGGAGGUUGUGCCCUUGAGGCGUGGCUUCCGGAGCUAACGCGUUAAAUCGACCGCCUGGGGAGUACGGCCGCAAGGUUAAAACUCAAAUGAAUUGACGGGGGCCCGCACAAGCGGUGGAGCAUGUGGUUUAAUUCGAUGCAACGCGAAGAACCUUACCUGGUCUUGACAUCCACAGAACUUUCCAGAGAUGGAUUGGUGCCUUCGGGAACUGUGAGACAGGUGCUGCAUGGCUGUCGUCAGCUCGUGUUGUGAAAUGUUGGGUUAAGUCCCGCAACGAGCGCAACCCUUAUCCUUUGUUGCCAGCGGUUAGGCCGGGAACUCAAAGGAGACUGCCAGUGAUAAACUGGAGGAAGGUGGGGAUGACGUCAAGUCAUCAUGGCCCUUACGACCAGGGCUACACACGUGCUACAAUGGCAUAUACAAAGAGAAGCGACCUCGCGAGAGCAAGCGGACCUCAUAAAGUAUGUCGUAGUCCGGAUUGGAGUCUGCAACUCGACUCCAUGAAGUCGGAAUCGCUAGUAAUCGUAGAUCAGAAUGCUACGGUGAAUACGUUCCCGGGCCUUGUACACACCGCCCGUCACACCAUGGGAGUGGGUUGCAAAAGAAGUAGGUAGCUUAACCUUCGGGAGGGCGCUUACCACUUUGUGAUUCAUGACUGGGGUGAAGUCGUAACAAGGUAACCGUAGGGGAACCUGCGGUUGGAUCACCUCCUU